rnacentral:rRNA from 1 species
UACGUAGGUGGCAAGCGUUAUCCGGAAUUAUUGGGCGUAAAGAGCGCGCAGGUGGUUGAUUAAGUCUGAUGUGAAAGCCCACGGCUUAACCGUGGAGGGUCAUUGGAAACUGGUCGACUUGAGUGCAGAAGGGGGAAGUGGAAUUCCAUGUGUAGCGGUGAAAUGCGUAGAGAUAUGGAGGAACACCAGUGGCGAAGGCGGCUUCCUGGUCUGUAACUGACACUGAGGCGCGAAAGCGUGGGGAGCAAACAGGAUUAGAUACCCU